GACCGCGUAGCUCAGUUGGCAGAGCAUUGGACUAGUAUUCCAAAGGUCGUAGACUCGUAGGUUCGAUUCCCACCGUAGCCG
rnacentral:tRNA from 1 species